rnacentral:rRNA from 1 species
GACGAAGGAUGCAAGCGUUAUCCGGAUUCAUUGGGUUUAAAGGGAGCGUAGGCGGCCUUAUAAGUCAGUGGUGAAAUCUUUGGGCUUAACCCAAAAAUUGCCAUUGAUACUGUAGGGCUUGAGUACAGUUGCUGUGGGCGGAAUAUGACAUGUAGUGGUGAAAUACAUAGAGAUGUCAUAGAACACCGAUUGCGAAGGCAGCUCACAAAACUGUAACUGACGCUGAGG